rnacentral:rRNA from 1 species
UACAGAGGGUGCGAGCGUUGUUCGGAAUUAUUGGGCGUAAAGGGCGCGUAGGCGGUGCCACAAGUCACUUGUGAAAUCCCCGGGCUUAACUCGGGGCCUGCAGGCGAAACUGUGGUGCUGGAGUAUGGGAGAGGUGCGUGGAAUUCCCGGUGUAGCGGUGAAAUGCGUAGAUAUCGGAAGGAACACCGAUGGCGAAAGCAGCGCGCUGGACCUCUACUGACGCUGAGGCGCGAAAGCCAGGGGAGCAAACAGG